AUGAACGUUUUUUUGUUGGAUUUCUUUUUUUGCUCACAAGAAAACUUGGAGUUGCACCGACACACCCUCCUGUAUGACGUCAUGCGACUAAAGGACAACAUCUCGCUCGUCCCAUCGGAUGUACUUGAAUUCAUCAAGACCUCGUUCCAUGUUCUCUAA
rnacentral:rRNA from 1 species